UGGCCUAUCCCAAACAAAUCCAAGGAAGAC
rnacentral:piRNA from 1 species